UAGUCCCACCCUACAUUCAAGUCCCAAGAGCAGAAAGGAGGAGCAGGAGAGAUAUAGAAUGAAUAAAAGACACCAUCUCUGCUCUUAAAAGCUGCAGUCUAGACUGAGCAUGUGAUCCUGCUGGUGAAACCCCAGUGAAGCCUGGACCUCAGGGCUUGUGUCAGGCAGGUCUCUUUCAGCCAUGAGUGAUAGAGCCCACGCCAGCAUGGCCUCAGCAGAGAGCAACUUACUGUCUCUCAUCGCGGACAAGAUGACAGCUGGAUCCAGAGGCUCAGUGGCAUUGGGCCCUGGUCUCCCUCAUUCAAUCUCUUGGCUACACCUUCGUCUUUGUUAGCUUUAGUCUUGGGCGAAACCACAGUUCUUGUGUUGGUCCCAGCAGUAAAAGAACUUCUCAUUCCCAAGUCCUAGAACUUGAAUCCAGUCUUGAACGGAAUGGCUUGGGUCAUGUUGGUCAUGUUUCCUGAACCAACCACCAUUGCCAAGGGCCUGCAAUAAGCUCUUUCAUUCAUUUAUUCAACACAUACUUAUUAAGCAUCUACUUUGUUCCUAAAACUUUUCUGGGAGCUGAAGAUAGAGCGGUGAACAAAACAGACAAACAAGUAAGUGUGCAAACAAACAGAUAACUUCAGACACAGACUCAAAUUUAGAGGUUCUGGGUGAGGGCUAAGGCUGCAUUUUAACAAGCUCCCCAGUGAGUCGAUGCCAGUGGCGUGGUCCCCACUUUAUUAGAUCGCAUGAACACAGUAUAAAGAAUGUGCUCCAAAGAACUAGUGAGCAGUGUCCAGCCGCAAGCCCCCUUUUCUUAGGCUGGGGAAGUUCGUGUAGACAUGAACAGAGUAGACAGCAACACAUCAGUGACGAUAACUUCAGGAUGGACAGGAAACAGUCUGCUUGCUCAAAGGGCAGCAGCUGGAACUAUAAUUGUUCAAGGCAUCAUUUCUCACCCUGGAAGGCCCCAGCAUCACCCAGGUCAAAACUCAGAUAUUUCCUGCAGAUAUAAAAACGAGGAUUUUUUUUCUUCCUCCCUUUCCAGCUUACAUAUUUGUAAAGAUGCAGUCUGUGUGGGAAUGCAUCAUUUUGUGCUCCAGAUGCGGGGUUACACGUUUAGGGUCCAGUAUUAUGUAUUAUGGUUGAUCAUUAUUUCACGAGCUGUCACUCUUUCUUCCCUUCAGAACAGGCUCUAAUAUCUCAUCUCUUUCCCAUCCCCUGAAAGGCAGAUCCUUGCCAAAGAUGUGUCUAUAUGUGGAGACCAGAAGCUGGUCUCUGGAAGUGAAGAGCGAGUGAUGCUUUGAAAUCUGGUUUCACAAGCCUCCCAGUUUUACCAGAGGGGCAAGCUUGUCGGAGUCAUUUCACAGCAUCGGGCAGCAUCCUUUCUCUCCACCUGUGCGAUACAUCACUAGACACCCUCCCCGCUCCAUCAGCAGCAUGUUCUCUUGGCUCAGUUUGGCUGACAACACUCAGGCGGGCCUCUCACUGUUGCGGCCUCUCCCGUUGCGGAGCACAGGCUGCGGACGCGCAUGCUCGGCGGCCAUGGCUCACGGGCCCUGCCGUUCCGCGGCAUGUGGGAUCUUCACGGACCGGGGCACGAACCCGUGUCCCCUGCAUCGACAGGCGGACGCUCAACCACUGCGCCACCAGGGAAGCCCGCCAAGAAGACAUUCUUUUUGCGGUACGCGGGCCUCUCACUGUUGUGGCCUCUCCCGCUGCGGAGCACAGACUCCGGACGCGCAGGCUCAGCGGCCAUGGCUCACGGGCGCAGCCGCUCCGCGGCAUGUGGGAUCCCCCCGGACCGGGGCACAAACCCGUGUCCCCUGCAUCGGGAGGCGGACUCUCAACCACUGCGCCACCAGGGAAGCCCAAGAAGACAUUCU